GGACGGAUCACCAGAAACCGAACCCCGUGUUGGCUUCACGGUGGUUCCCGGUUUCAAGAUAGGUAAUACUGUCAUUCAGUGUCAAGUUUACCUGUGUUGAACCCCAUAGAUGUGGUAAAUCCAAAAGCAGCAUCAGAUUCUUUCCUUUAUAAAUGGACCCACAACAACACCACAUCAACUAUAAUAUUGUUUUUUAAAAUAUUGUGAUAUGGGA
rnacentral:misc_RNA from 1 species